rnacentral:rRNA from 1 species
UAGGGAAUCUUCCGCAAUGGGCGAAAGCCUGACGGAGCAACGCCGCGUGAGUGAUGAAGGUCUUCGGAUCGUAAAACUCUGUUAUUAGGGAAGAACAAAUGUGUAAGUAACUAUGCACGUCUUGACGGUACCUAAUCAGAAAGCCACGGCUAACUACGUGCCAGCAGCCGCGGUAAUACGUAGGUGGCAAGCGUUAUCCGGAAUUAGUGGGCGUAAAGCGCGCGUAGGCGGUUUUUUAAGUCUGAUGUGAAAGCCCACGGCUCAACCGUGGAGAGUCAUUGGAAACUGGAAAACUUGAGUGCAGAAGAGGAAAAUGGAAUUCCAUGUGUAGCGGUAAAAUGCACAGAGAUAUGGAGGAAAACCAGUGGCGAAAGCAACUUUCUGGUCUGUAACUGACGCUGAUGUGCGAAAGCGUGGGGAUCAAACAGG